GGAAUAGUAAGGAGACCGAUCUCUGCGUUUAAAAAUGUCAGAAAAACAUGUACGAUAAGUGUUCAGUGUUUAUUUCAGAAAUUUUAUUUACCAUUGCGAUAUUGUACCUCCAAAAUCAUGUAAAAUAUUAUACUCACGAAAUUAUUGUGCGUUUGUCUAAAUGGAAGCACACAUGCGCACUGUAACUUCUAACCUGUUUGUCACUCUGCACAUCUCAACUGUGUUUUGUUUUGAAAAAGGGGCCAUCAAAUGUUUUUGAAAGAAGCACUGCACUAUUGAAAGGCGUAAAAAACAACAAUAAAAACAUACAAAUUUAUAUUAAAUAAAAUUAAGUGCAUAUAAGGUAGAAAUAUGCGAACGAUUACUUCAUUAAUUAUUUAUAUUGGUUAAUAUCAACGAUUUGAAACCUACUAGGAGGAUUAAUUU